CUUUAAAAGUGUUAUGUCUUAACACUUUCAUAGCUAUUUGAAAAAGUAUAAACUUAAAGGAAAAACACUUGUAUUUCAUACUUAAAUAAUGCUAAUUACCUACUAACGGGAUGUGGCACCUGUUGGGCACUGCACAACUUCUCAAACCUCGGGCACUGCCAUCUUCGCUUUCUGUUCCACGUCAGAUUUUUGUGUACAACUUGCCUCUUAUCACAGCAACCACAGAAAACCCACUUUCAUGAAGAAAUGGCCCCAUUGAAAGGAAAUCGUGAGAUCUAAUGUUAAAACUGUAAACUUCCUUGAGUUGGGAAUUUGCUUGGUGUCUGGCAGGACACAUCCUCAGAUUAUGCUCUAUCUAUAACGAGGCAUUUCUAGGAAAAAUCAGGAGGCUGGACUUUCCUGGGAAUGUUAAAGACAUAUUGUGCUGGAUAGAAGACACUUUGAAGUGCAGCUCUGUGGCUAGAAGAAACUUUUCAUCCUCCGCCAAAGCUCUGUAGUGUCUCUUCAUAUUGUUCACUUCAGUCAGAAUAAAACUCUUUCUGAUAAU